GCAAAGGCCCUUCUCAGGGCCAAAAAAAUUUGGCUUUAGAGCUGACU
rfam:Ixodes scapularis strain Wikel colony gcontig_1107728926362, whole genome shotgun sequence.